AGUGAACGCUGGCGGCGUGCCUAAUACAUGCAAGUCGAACGGAGUGGCUCACGGGUGUGUAAUGUAUAGCUAAUCUGCCCUACACUAGCAGACAACAGUUGGAAACGACUGCUAAUACUCUAUAGUGUAGGAUGAGGCUAUAUUGUAUCAGCUAGUUGGUGAGGUAAUGGCUCAACAAGGAUAUUACGCAUAACUAGUAUGAGAGGAUGAUCAGUCACACUGGAACUGAAAUACGGUCCAGACUCCUACGUGAGGGAGCAGUAGGGAAGAUUGCUCAAUGGGGGAAACCAUGAAGCAGCAACGCCGCGUGGAGGAUUACACUUUUCGGAGCGUAAACUCCUUUUGUUAGGGAAGCGGAACCUAACGAAUAAGCACAGGCUAACUCCGUGCCAGCAGCCGCGGUAAUUC
rnacentral:rRNA from 1 species